GGGACCCGUCCCUGAGCCUUGGGUUUGGGUAGAGGAGGGACACUUAGCUGUGAGCCGGUGGCCUGGGCUGAGUGAAUGUAGAGAGGAGGGGAGGCCUGUGGGCCAGGUCAGCUGCCACUCUGGGAACAGACACCUACAAGAGCCACAUGCCUGGUUCCUGGGGCAAGAACGUGGGCUGCUCUGACCAAGUGGGGCCCUGCAGAGAGGCUUGCCUCUUACAAGUGAACCACCCACCAUUAGCCGUGUCAGUGGAAGAGCAAGCACAUCAGGGACCCAUGGAAACAGCGAGGUGGGCUGCGAUGAGGAUGCUGCUUCCUGGUGUGGUAGUGAUGACGGUCACAGCAGCUGCUCUCUGUGGCCCUCCUGUGUUCACAGCUGGUGCUGAGCCACAUAUGUGCCAGGUGCACACACACGCAGACGCAUGCAGGCAGGCAUCAGUGUACACACUGAUGUGCACACACAGAUGUACAUGGAGACAGAUGCACACACAGGCCUAUGCACACACGUACGCAUGCCCACACAGGCACCUGUGUCCACACACAUACAGAUGCACCCACAGCAUCCCAUCUGUGCCACACACAGACAUAGGUACAUGGAGACAGAUGCACACACAGGUCUGUGCACACACGUAUGCAUGCAUAGGCACCUGUGUACGCACACGUACAGAUGCACCCACAGGAUCCCAUCUGUGCCACACACAGACGUAGGUACAUGGAGACAGAUGCACACACAGGUCUAUGCACACACGUAUGCAUGCACAGGCACCUGUGUACACACACGUACAGAUGCACCCACAGGAUCCCAUCUGUGCCACACACAGACAUAGGUACAUGGAGACAUGCACACACAGGUCUAUGCACACAUGUACGCAUGCCCACACAGGCACCUUUGUACGCACACAUACAGAUGCACCCACAGCAUCCCAUCUGUGCCACACACAGACAUACGUACAUGGAGACAUGCACACACAGGUCUGUGCACACACAUACACAUGCACAGGCACCUGUGCACACACACAUGCAGAUACACCCACAGCAUCCCAUCUGUGCCACACACAGACAUAGGUACAUGGAGACAGAUGCACACACAGGUCUAUGCACACACGUAUGCAUGCACAGGCACCUCUGUACACACAUACAGAUACACCCGCAGUAUCCCAUCUGUGCCACACACAGACAUACGUACAUGGAGACAGAUGCACAUACAGGUCUAUGCACACAUGUACACAUGCACAGGCACCUGUGCACACAUACAUACAGAUGCACCCGCAACAUCCCGUCUGUGCUGCCCUAUUAGGUUUGUGGCCAUUUGGGGAAUCUUCCUAAAACCCUAAAAGCUAGGGCAGGUCUGCUUGAGCAGGAGCAGCAGGGUCUGGGGGACCCUUGAGGGCAGGACAGUCAGGGACCCACAGUUGAGCUGGGCCUGCUGAGCCCUGGAUCCU